ACUCCAUGGUUUUAUUUUUUAAUUUAAUUUUUUUUUUUUCCUCCUCCUUCCGACGUUAUGUUAAUGUGCGAGAUAAUGAACGACGUCACCGUAUUCACGAUAUAAAUAGAGGUUCGAAAAGCACACAGCCGAGCAGAACGAGAAGAACGUUGGCGAUAAACGGAUCCAAUAAUUGUCGCAUUCUCGAUAUUCUUUUUCGCGUAGAAAAAUAAAAUCAAUCUAUCAGAAUGAAGGUUGCCGCCUGUGUGAUUUUCACCCUACUCGUCGUCUUCGCAAUGAACACCGAAAUCGACGCCAGACCUGACGGACCCGUGAAUUGCGAGGGUGAAUACGAUUGGAGAUGUCCCCAAGUCAUGUGCGGACCGAAUGGAGUUAAGGGAGCAAAGGCUCAAGACAACACGAAGCCUUAUCCGGACUGUUGUGGAAGAGUAUUUUGCAACCCAUAACCAUAUUGUUAUUGUGUGCUUUGAAUAAAUCUUAAUAACGCUUUAAGACCUUUGAAAAUCAUUUCGUCAAAAAAUGAUCGUCGUCGAAGUUCAGUGUCCUCUGCAAAAUGAUUCGCACCAUAUUUCACGAGAGAACGAAAAUCGAAAGAUUCACGCGUGUACAAUAAGAAGAACAGAAAAACAAAAAAAAAAAACUCACGUUAGGUAUUCCGACGAUCUAAUCAACGAAUUAUCAGGUAUGUAGCUCCAAAAAUUCCAUACCUGAAACACAAGAGAGAAGAAAAAAAUUAUUAUCGAUCGGAUCAGUUCGAUCUACGUUGUGUGAAUAAUUUCUAACAUCAAUGAGGAAUAAAAAUAACUAAUCAGCGCAAAAUUAAGGAAUGGAAAAAAAAACAACAAAAAUCCUACCGGAGAAACAGGUCAGGUUGAGUAAACAUACUUUGCACUUCUUUUCUUUUUCUUAUCGUUACAUUUCGGCGGAAAGGGGGUGAUGGGAGCUGUAAUAGGUGGUCGCAAAUUACCGGGAACGUAGAUUAGGCUCACCUAAUUUCCCUGCAGUAAAGUUAGAGAUUUUCGUGAAACUUGGUGACCAUAACGUGUACGUGUAACAGUGGUUCUAAUUUUCAUACCAGUACGUACAAAUAUAACAUCCUAGUUCUGUCCGCCCGCGCCGGUAGAAGUGGGUAGCUCUAGCUACUCCGUACUUGUACCAAUCCGCGGUGCUUGCGGUAACCAGGAGUAGUUCGCGGUCAAAGCUCAACCUCCUAGAUGUGGGCUAUUUUAGUUUUUCACUACACAAGAUGAAAAUAGGAGAGUAAGGGGAAUGGGGAUGGGGAUGGGGUGAAAUGGGGUGUGGGGAGAGUACGACCGGACCAUUUCGCUACGUGCACUCAC
rnacentral:misc_RNA from 1 species